GGAUUAGCUCAGUUGGUCAGAGCAUGGUGCUAAUAACGCCGAGGUUGUGGGUUUGAUCCCUGUACAGGCCA
rnacentral:tRNA from 1 species